UAUAUAUAUAUAUAACAUUUAUUUAGAUAGAAACAGAAAUAUGGUAGAUUUUCGAUUCGAGCACAAUGUUAGAUAUAUCAUUGAACCUUACGUAACAGCUUAAAAAUAAACCAUAUUCACAUUCGUAUGCUUAAUUAUAUGAUACACUAAAAGCAAAUAAGAAGCAUGUAUAUUCAAAUUGCGAUCAAAUUAACGAGUUACGUACAUAUUGCAUGUAAAGAAAUGAUAGUAUAAGAAAGAUGAAAGUAAAAAUAUAGCAAAAGAUAGCAAGAAAUGAUGUUUAAAGCUAAAUGUUAAUUACAAAGCUUUGCAGGAAAAUUUGUUCUGUUAAUCACUCAUUGGAAAAGUGAUGGCACGAAAAUUAUCGGAAAUGAUGUCUGUUGGAAUUUCUUUUCCAUUCUUUGAUUCUUAAUUUUUUAUGCAAUUAAGUAAAUCAAAUCUAUCUAAUGAUGGCUGUUUGAAUAAAAAUAUUUAUAUAUUUAUAUAUACCAAGAUAAUAACAAUAAUAAAUUAACAGAUAUAAUAACGAAAAAGAUAAAAAAACCUAUUUGACGGAAUUUUUUUUAUAAAAGAAAUGAUAUUGUGUAUCAAAUGUUGCGCGGCAUCGAACGCAGAUGAACACUGAUUUUUUCGCUUUGUUUUUUCGAAUUUAAAUCGGAAAUAAUUGUAGAUUGUGACGUGGGCAUCGCAUAUGACAUAUGUGAUUUUAUUUCUAUCCGCGCAUUGAGAAAGAAUAAAGAGGUCGAGCAUCUCUGUGUUUCAUUAUAUGUCAUGUUAAAUCAUAAUCAUUAUUCUGUGAUGAUAAAAAUCGAAGGGAGGGAAAAAAAGAGAAAAAAAGAGAAACAGAGAAGAAGAGAAAGUGAGAGAAAAAAUCGAACGAAAGAGAAAAGGGCCGCAGUCGCGCUUCGAACGGUCUAAAGGGCGGAAGAACCGACGAAAGAAAGUGAAAGCUAUGACCCAGAAACUCGGGAAACGUAAAUGGCGCGCGCCUAUACGUUCCAGAAUUAUAAAUCAUUAUACAAAGAUCAAAUAGUAUCAGAUUAGAAAAUCAUAUUAAUAAGAAUAUGCACUUAUUUCCCUGUCGAGAAGAAAAAAGAAAAGG